rnacentral:misc_RNA from 1 species
UUUGAGGUUUAGCUUCGAAUUCGAAAAAACCAUCAUCAAUAAAGUAAUCAGAAAUUGAGAUGGCAGAAUCAGAGGUGGAAGUCUGGGAGCAUUCAGACUCACAGUGAGAACUUGGGAGAUGGAUGGUGGUUAGAGAAGAGGUAGCGGUAGAAGAUGAAGCAACAGGUGAAAGGAGAUCGCCGAGCAAAUGUUGUUUGAUGAGGUCCAAGGCAGAUGCUAGUUGAGUUGCUGCAGCCAUUUGAGUAUCAGUUGAAAUCUUUUUAAGAGGAAGAG